rnacentral:rRNA from 1 species
AAAACUUUCAACAACGGAUCUCUUGGUUCCGGCAUCGAUGAAGAACGCAGCGAAAUGCGAUAAGUAAUGUGAAUUGCAGAAUUCCGUGAAUCAUCGAAUCUUUGAACGCACAUUGCGCCCCCUGGUAUUCCGGGGGGCAUGCCUGUUCGAGCGUCAUUUCAGCCCCUCA